rnacentral:rRNA from 1 species
GUAGUCUCGCACAGAUGCAUAUCAAUAAGCGGAGGAAAAGAAACUAACAAGGAUUCCCCUAGUAACGGCGAGUGAAGCGGGAAGAGCUCAAAUUUGAAAUCUUAAAGGGUUUCCCUUUACGAAUUGUAGUUUAAAGAAGUGUUUUCUGUUGAGGUUUUAGGUAAAAGUUCUUUGGAAUAGGACAUCAUAGAGGGUGAGAAUCCCGUAUUUGACCUUUACUUUCAACUUUGUGAUACACUUUCAAAGAGUCGGAUUGUUUGGGAAUGCAGUCCAAAAUGGGUGGUAAAUUUCAUCUAAAGCUAAAUAUUGGCGAGAGACCGAUAGCGAACAAGUACCGUGAGGGAAAGAUGAAAAGAACUUUGAAAAGAGAGUUAAACAGUACGUGAAAUUGUCAAAAGGGAAGCGUUUGACACCAGUGUUGUUUUUCUGAAAAUCAAUUAAAGAACUGUUUAUGCUAAGUUGUUUAGACUUUAUCAGCUAAUCUGCUUAGUUUUGAGCUUUUCUUUAAUGCACUUUUCAGUUAACAAGUCAACAUCAAUUUCUUUUGCUGUAAAAAAGCUUGAGGAAGGUGGCUUGAGAUUCGUCUUAAGUGUUUAUAGCCUCUUGCCUAUGCAGUCGGAGAGAUUGAGGUCUGCAGCGUAGAUCCUUCGGGGCUAAAUGCAUUUGUGCUAAGUUAUAGCAUUUUAUAGACAACUUGUUGACUAUGAUUUGUCUUGUAGCUUACUCGCUUAUGUUAUUUUACCUACGCUUAGGAUGUUGACGCAUGAGAUAUACGC